UUGAUACAGCAAAGAGGAAGCAUAAAAAAUAUAAACCAUUAUAUUGCUUUCAUUUUUUCCCUCACAUCGAGGCAGGACCAUUCAAACCCAGGCAAUGACUUUAUGUCGUUUUGCAGCCCUACAUUAUUCUGCUAUCUUCACAAGGAUGCAGGUGAAACUCCUACUAAUGGCAUUGUGUGCAGUGGUGUCCUCUUUCAAACAACCACUGAGCACUGAGCUGGAUGGUAUCUGGGAGGAGUGGAAAACCCAACACAGCAAACAGUAUGCCAAGAUUACUUAGAGCCUACGGCAAACACAGUAUGCCAAUCAUAUGAUCAUACUAACUUUCACUUAAAGAGGCAAUAUGCAGAAAUCACUCCACGGUUUCCUGGUUGCUAAAAUUCUAUUAGUUUGCCCAAUGACAGAGAAUUACAGAAUUAUAACACACAGUUCUAUGUGAAUUUGGUAGCACAUAAUGUUCUGAGAACCAUAUGUUUCUUAGAGCUUAGUGAAAGUGUGGUUGUCCUAUGGUUAUUUUACAUACAACCUUUCCACAAUGUUCUGGGAAUGGUGCAGGAUAGUUGCUUGGCUUUGAAACAUUCACGGCACAUUUAAAGAACUUGACAAAUUAACUUUAGUUUCUUGGAAUUUCAUUACCUUGACAGAAAGCUUCCUAAAAGUUCAAACAUGGUUACAUUUAAUUGAAUGCUAGGAAUGUUUUCCAACUGGUUUGACAUUGGGAAAGUUCUCAAAUAGUUUAGAGAAGGUUAAUAUAUUUAUACUGUACUUUUGAUACUUAAGUAUAUUGAAAACCAAAUACUUUUAGACUUUUACUCAAGUAGUAUUUUACUGGGUGACUUUCACUUGAGUAUUUUUCUAUUAACGUCUUAUGGCUGCAGGGGCAGUAUUGAGUAGCUUGGAUGAAAGGUGCCCAGAGUUGCCCAGAGUAAAUGGCCUGCUCCUCAGUCUUAGUUGCUAAUAUAUGCAUAUUAUUGUUAGUAUUGGAUAUAAAACACUCUGAAGUUUCUAAAACUGUUUGAAUGAUGUCUGUGAGUAUAACAGAACUCAUAAGGCAGGCAAACACCUGAGAAGAAAUCCAAACAGGAAGUGAAAAAUCUGAGGUUGGUCAAUUUUCAACCCAGGCCCUAUUGAACUCACAAUGGGAUAUGGAUGAAGUUGCAUUUCCUAGGGCUUCCACUAGAUGUCAACCGUCUUUAGUUGAAUGAGGCUUCUACUGUGUUGUGGGGCUGAAUAAGAGCUGAAUGAGUCAGGUUACUGACAGAGAACCAUUUCCUGGUCACGCGUAUUUCACAUGAUAUCGACCUGCGUUCCAUGGCUUCCUCGAGACAAGGAAUUCUCUGGUUGGAACUUAAUAGAAGAUUUAUGAUAACAACACCCUAAAGAUUGAUUCUAUACUUAGUUUGAAAGGUUUCUUCGACCUGUAAUAUAACUUUUUGAAGUUUAUGUCCAAAGUUAUGCUGGACCUGCACGAGCGUUUGGAUAUGUGUACCUAACGCCCUAACAAAAGGAGCUACUUGGACAUAAAUAAUGGACAUUAUCGAACAAAUCAAUUAUUUAUUGUGGAACUAGGAUUCCUGUGAGUGCAUUCUGAUGAAGAUCAUCAAAGGUAAGGGAAUAUUUAUAAUGUGAUUUCUGGUUUCUUUUGACUCCAACAUGGCGGAAAAUGUUAUUUAUUUUCUAAGCGCCGUCUCAGAUUAUUGCAUGGUUUGCUUUUUCCGUAAAGUUUUAAAAAAUCUGACACACAAAACAGACAUGUAUUGUGUAACAUGAAGUCCUAUGAGUAUCAUCUGAUGAAGAUCAUCAAAUGUUAGUGAUUAAUUUUAUUUGUGCUAUUUGUGCUUUUUGUGACUCCUCUCUUUGGCUGGAAAAAUGGCUGUGUUUUUUUGUGGCUUGGUGGUGACCUAACAUAAUCGUUUGUGGUGCUUUCGCUGUAAAGCCUAUUUGAAAUCGGACACUGUGGUGGGAUUAACAACAAGAUUACAUUUAAAACGGUAUAAGAUACAUGUAUGUUUGAGGAAUUUUAAUUAUAAGAUUUCUGUUGUUUUGAAUUUGGCGCCCUGCACUUUCACUGGCUGUUGUCACAUCAUCCCGUUAACGAGAUUGCAGCCCUAAGAAGUUUUAAGGUAUCUUUACUUUUACUCAAGUAUGAAAUUUAGGUACUUUUUCCACCACUGCUCCAUGCACAGAGAGGACACAUGGACAUGAAUUUGCUUAGGCAUUAAUUGUGCAAACACAUUAAUUAUUUAUUGAGGCUCGGCAUCAGUGUGAUUCAAACCUAUGAUUUCGAGUCUCUAACCAUGGAAUUAGUCCACUGCGCCACCAGGAUGGAGCAAGAAAGCCAUGUUUUUUUAGUUCAUACAAAGCUGUUCAUUUUAGUCUGUUCAAACAGACUGUAUUUCAAAGGAAACAAGCACUCAUUAACAUCAGGUGUGGCCAAUUAGUAGCCCCGGCCAACACACCGAACACACUUAACAAGAUAGAGGAUAGAGAGAGUUUUGUUGACUCUGAGAAAGGAAUGUAUAUGUUUUUAAAUAACAUUCUUAGAAAGUUCUUUGAACGUUACUACAGUUGUCUUGUGGUGUUUAUGGAACAUUUUCUUAAUGUUCUGAGAACAUGAGGAAAUCUGCAGAAAAUGUUUUGCUGAAGUACUGAAAUUCCCACAGAACAAAGUUUUUCUUAACGUUCUCUGAACAAUUUGAGAACAUUACUUUUAAUAGAACCAUGAGAAAACCGGUAGGAAACGUUAUGCUGAAGCACUGAAAUUCACACAGAAGAAUGUUGUUUCUUAACGUUCUCGGAACAACUUGAGAAAAUGACUUUAAAUAGAGCCAUGAGGAAACCUGUAGGAAACAUUAUGCUGUAGUACUGAAAUUCCCACAGAAGAACGUUAAUUCGUAAGCAAACCAGGAACACAUUUUUUUAUUUAUUUUUUAUUUAGGAUAGCCAGGGGCACACUCCAACACUCCAACACAUAAUUUACAAACUAAGCAUUUGUGUUUAGUGAGUCCGCCAGACCAGAGGCAAUAGGGAUGACCAGUGAUGUUCUCUUGAUAAGUGCAUGAAUUUAAACAUGUUCCUGUCCUGAUAGCCAUUCAAAAUGUAAUGAGUAAAAAGUACAUUCUUUUCUUUAGGAAUGUAUUGAAGUAAAAGUAAAAGUUGUCAAAAAUAGUAAAAUAAAGUGCAGAUACCCUAAAAAACUACAUAAGUAGUACUUUAAAGUAUUUUACCUGAGUACUUUAUACAACUGGCUUGGAGUUCAAAACCUCCCAGGAAAACUUUCAGGGAACCAUUGUAAAAUGUUCUCAGAACCUCUCUGCAACCAAUAAAUUAACAUUCCCAGAACAGGCUAAAUGUUCACUUCUGUUCUCAGCAUAAUAAUAAAAAAACGUUCAGUUUUACCGGUCAGGAAACGUAUGCCUUCAUUCCCAGAACCAAUGGGAAACCAUAAAUGUACGUUCCCACAACUACCAAGGAACCAAGUGUGCUAGCUGGGUGAAAAUGUGACUUAAGUGGAAGUUUAGGAUGUGUGUAUCACCCUUGUGUUAAGAUUUUCCCCAUAGAGAGUUAAUCGUGACAUCAAUAACUUGAAGGGCCUUUGACUUGUCUUUCUCAGGUGGAUGAGGGCUUCAGAAGGAUGAUCUGGGAGACAAACCAAGGCCUCAUCUGUCAACACAACCUGGAGGCAGAAAUGGACAAGCACACCUUCACUCUGGGAAUGAACAAGUUUGGAGACAUGACAAAUAAAUAGUACAAUGCCUUGCUGACUGUUAAUGCUGCUGAGGAGGAGAAAGGCUGGACAGGAUCAAAUCAAAUCAAAUCAAAUUUAUUUAUAUAGCCCUUCGUACAUCAGCUGAUAUCUCAAAGUGCUGUACAGAAACCCAGCCUAAAACCCCAAACAGCAAGCAAUGCAGGUGUAGAAGCACCCUCUCUAAGUGGAACUGCAGUCUCUAAGCAUCUCCUGAGACAUGGGACUGGCGUCAAUAUGGAUAUGUGACUCCAGUGAAGAACCAGGUUGAAGAGCAGCCUCUUUCAUUUGAUCUCUCUCACUUUUGGGUGAAUCCUAUCUUCCACUUAAGUCUACAUUUCCUUUAGUCUCCCAUUGACAUCAUGCAUGACUAAGUAAACAUUUGGCUUAACUGGAAGUUAGAAUUCUCCCCUUCAUUCUUCUGGUAUUGUACAGAUUGACACUUUCUCUGCAUUUAGAAAGGUGAGAAAACUGUUGAGGUAGUGGCCUGAUAUGAUGUGUAGGGACAGGAGUUUUUCCUGGCCACCUUACUUCUAGGGGAUAACUUCAAAGCACAAUAGGGGAAAUAAAACUUUAUUUUAUCCAGGGGCGUUGUGGACUUUGCCAUGCAUUUACUUCUAGGCAAUAACUUCAAAGCAAAAUAGUAGAUAUGACAACUAUUUUAUUUGAUCUAGGGGUCUUGUGGAUCUUGCUAUGAAUUUGCUGCAGUCGGAGCCCUGGAGGGCCAGAUGUUCAAGCAGACAGGCACACUGUUGCC